rnacentral:lncRNA from 1 species
UGAUGAUUUACACCUUGUUGAUUUGCUAUGAUUCACUAGUUGAGAUCAAUGCCCUGGUUGUUAGCUUUUUGAUGCAUGAUGAUUGAACUUGAAGUAAGUCUGAAACAAACUUGGAAUUCAUGAAGAGCAUUCUUGAACUUGGUUGAAACAUGUUGUGAUAUGAUCUCAUUCCUUACCCUAUAAGAACUUAAUCUUGACUUGCAAAUAUUUGGUUGUGUUUUGCUUGCAUGCUCAUGGUCACCAUAUACAUAUUUGGAUCAUCUUCCUCCUUUCACCACUCUUGUUGAUCCAAGUAGCUGAUCUUUCUUUUGAUCAGUUUGCCACACCCACAGCCUAUCCUUUUCUUUCAAGCCAAUUGAUAAUUUUUGAGUGGUAGGUCUUUUACCGGAUUAUGAUUGGGGAGAACGUGUUAGGUAUGAGCAGAAAUGAUUAAAAUCUUGAGUAGUUCUGAUUUUCACUUUCAAAUCAGAUAGGACUAGGUCGGGAUUCUUACUUGGGUUUGGGAUUGGAAUGAUUGUGGAAAGAAAGAAGAGAAACAGAAAAAGUUGUGUCCUUAGGAGGAGAAUGUUUUCUAGAAGUUUAUACUCUAGUGAUUGAUUUUUGUGGGGUUAGCAUGAUAUACAGAGAAUGAUUCUGGGAUGUUAAGAAAGAGAAAAAGAUUUGAUGUCUUAUAACGUAAGAAGAAAACAGAACCAUAGUUAAGAAGAAACCCCAUAUCCACUAGUAUUGAUAAGAAACUUCUCCUAAGGCAAAAAGAAAAAAUGGGAUUGAUGUUGAAGGGUAGACAUAGGGAUCAUCCGGGUUUAGAUGAUUAGGAGUAAGCACUUGGGAACCAUUGGGUAGUCAAGGUUUUAUUCCUGUAUGCAAUUGUUGGUCCUUACCUUUAGCAUUCUCCCUAAAACUCAAUCCAUUCAUUGAGAGAUCCUUGUCCUGAAAUUGUUUAAACCCUCAUGAUUCUCAAAACCUUUUUCUGCCUAGCCAAGUGAGUUUGUUAAGCCUUGCACAACCAGAUUCAUAUACUUGAGUAAUGGAUGUUAAAAAGAUUGAAUGAUUUGAAUGCAUCUGUAGAUCAAGGGAUAGAAUCAGUUUCGGAUUUGAUGAGUUUGUCUAAAGUCAUUAAGUAAAGUUCUCUCAGCAUGCAUCAAAGACUUAGCAACCAGGACAUUGAUUUUAACUGCUCUAUCUUGCAAGUUACAGGUUCUGAGACCCCAUUUUCAAACCUCU